AGCGGCGGACGGGUGAGUAACGCGUGGGAAUAUGCCCUUUGGUACGGAACAGUCCCGGGAAACUGGGUUUAAUACCGUAUGUGGUAGUGGUACGAAAGAUUUAUCGCCAAAGGAUUAGCCCGCGUUGGAUUAGGUAGUUGGUGGGGUAACGGCCUACCAAGCCGACGAUCCAUAGCUGGUUUGAGAGGAUGAUCAGCCACACUGGGACUGAGACACGGCCCAGACUCCUACGGGAGGCAGCAGUGGGGAAUCUUAGACAAUGGGGGCAACCCUGAUCUAGCCAUGCCGCGUGAGUGAUGAAGGCCUUAGGGUUGUAAAGCUCUUUCAGCUGGGAAGAUAAUGACGGUACCAGCAGAAGAAGCCCCGGCUAACUCCGUGCCAGCAGCCGCGGUAAUACGGAGGGGGCUAGCGUUGUUCGGAAUUACUGGGCGUAAAGCGCAUGUAGGCGGACCAGAAAGUUGGGGGUGAAAUCCCGGGGCUCAACCCCGGAACGGCCUUCAAAACUAUUGGUCUGGAGUUCGAGAGAGGUGAGUGGAAUUCCGAGUGUAGAGGUGAAAUUCGUAGAUAUUCGGAGGGACACCAGUGGCGAAUGCGGCUCACUGGCUCGAUACUGACGCUGAGAUGCGAAGCGUGAGCAGCAAACAGGAUAGAUACCCUUGUAGUUCACGCGUA
rnacentral:rRNA from 1 species